AGUGAACGCUGGCGGUAGGCUUAACACAUGCAAGUCGAACGGCAGCACACUACGAGGUUGCGCUUACGGGCGGAGAGGGGCGGAAGGGUGCGGAAUGCACCCGGACCUACUUUUUCGUGGGGGAUAAGGUAGGGAAACUUACGCUAAUACCGAAGACGACAUACGGGUGAAAGCAGGGGAUCGUCGGACCUUGCGCGACUGAAUGAGCCGAUGUAGGAGUAGCGUGUUUGCGGGGUAAAGGCCAACCAAGGCAACGAUCCGUAGCUGGGCUGAGAGGAUGAUCCGCCACCCUGGAACUUGGGCACCGUCCCGGCUCCUACGGGAGGCCGCAGUGGGGAAUUUUGGACAAUGGGCGCAAGCCUGAUCCAGCCAUACCGCGUGUGUGAAGAAGGCCUUCGGGUUGUAAAGCCCUUUUGUUGGGAAAGAAAAGCAGCAGGUUAAUACCCCGCUGUUCUGACGGUACCCAAAGAAUAAGCACCGGCUAACUUCGUG
rnacentral:rRNA from 1 species